rnacentral:misc_RNA from 1 species
UCCGAGUUGACCCCGGCAGUCUCCGUAGAGUCCCCGACAUUACUCGCUGGCAACUACGGACAGGGGUUGCGCUCGUAGCGCCACUUAAGGCAACACCUCACGGCACGAGCUGACGGCAGCCAUGCAGCACCUGUGCGGGCUCCCGAAGGAGGACCGUGUUUCCACGGCUUCACCCCGCAUGUCAAGCCCUGGUAAGGUUCUUCGCGUCGCGUCGAAUUAAGCCACAUGCUCCGCCGCUUGUGCGGGCCCCCGUCAAUUCCUUUGAGUUUUAGCCUUGCGGCCGUACUCCCCAGGCGGGGCACUUAAUGCGUUAGCUACGGCGCGGAAAACGUGGAAUGUCCCCCACACCUAGUGCCCAACGUUUACGGCGUGGACUAC